AUUCCAGCUCCAAUAGCAUAUUUUAAAGUUGUUGCGGUUAAAAACCUCGUAGUUGGAUUUCUGCCGAGGACGACCGGUCCGCCCUCUUGGUGAGCAUCUGGCUCGGCCUGGGCAUCCUCUUGGAGAACGUAGCUGCACUUGACUGUGUGGGGCGGUAUCCAGGAUUUUUACUUUGGGGAAAUUAGAAUGUUUCAAGCAGGCGUACGCUUUGAAUACAUUAGCAUGGAAUAAUAAGAUAGGACCUCGGUUGUAUUUUGUUGGUUUCUAGAGCUGAGGUAAUGAUUAAUAGGGAUAGUUGGGGGCAUUCGUAUUUAACUGUCAGAGGUGAACUUCUUGGAUUUGUUAAAGACGGACUACUGCGAAAGCAUUUGCCAAGGAUGCUUUCAUCA
rnacentral:rRNA from 1 species